rnacentral:rRNA from 1 species
AUUGAACGCUGGCGGAAUGCUUUACACAUGCAAGUCGAACGGCAGCACGGACUUCGGCCUGGUGGCGAGUGGCGAACGGGUGAGUAAUGUAUCGGAACGUGCCCAGUCGUGGGGGAUAACGUAGUGAAAAUUACGCUAAUACCGCAUACGAUCUAUGGAUGAAAGCGGGGGAUCGCAAGACCUCGCGCGAUUGGAGCGGCCGAUAUCAGAUAAGGUAGUUGGUGGGGUAAAGGCCCACCAAGCCAACGAUCUGUAGCUGGUCUGAGAGGACGACCAGCCACACUGGAACUGAGACACGGUCCAGACUCCUACGGGAGGCAGCAGUGGGGAAUUUUGGACAAUGGGCGAAAGCCUGAUCCAGCCAUUCCGCGUGCAGGAUGAAGGCCCUCGGGUUGUAAACUGCUUUUGUACAGAACGAAAAGGUUUCUACUAAUACUAGGAGCUCAUGACGGUACUGUAAGAAUAAGCACCGGCUAACUACGUGCCAGCCGCCGCGGUAA